GAUGAACGCUGGCGGCGUGCUUAACACAUGCAAGUCGAACGGAAAGGCCCCUGCUUGCUUGGGUGCUCGAGUGGCGAACGGGUGAGUAACACGUGGGAGAUCUGCCCUGCACUUUGGGAUAAGCCUGGGAAACUGGGUCUAAUACCGGAUAGGACCAUGGUUUAGAGGCCGUGGUGGAAAGUUUUUUCGGGGGGGAAUAACCUCCCGGCCUAUCACUUGGUUGGGGGGGAAAGGGCCUACCAAGGCGCCAACGGUAACCCGGCCUGAAAGGUGGUACGGCCCCUUUGGAACUGAAAUACGGCCCAAACUCCUACGGAAGGCACCAUGGGGAAAUAUUGCACAAGGGGCGCAAGCCUGAUGCACCAACCCCCCGGGGGGAAUAACGGCCUUCGGUUUGAAAAUUCCUUUCCUCAAGGACAAGGCUUUAUGUAACGGUACUUGAAAAAAAACCACCGGUUAAUUACUUGCCACCACCCGCGGAAUUACUUAGGGGGCAACCGUUGUCCGAAUUUACGGGCCGUAAGAGCUCGUAGGGGGUUUGUCGCGUCGUUUGUGAAAUACCCCACUUUACUUGUGGACUUGCAGGCGAUACGGGCAUAACUUGAGUGUUGUAGGGGAGACUGGAAUUCCUGGUGUAGCGGUGGAAUGCGCAGAUAUCAGGAGGAACACCGAUGGCGAAGGCAGGUCUCUGGGCAGUAACUGACGCUGAGGAGCGAAAGCAUGGGUAGCGAACAGGAUUAGAUACCCUGGUAGUCCAUGCCGUAAACGGUGGGCGCUAGGUGUGAGUCCCUUCCACGGGGUUCGUGCCGUAGCUAACGCAUUAAGCGCCCCGCCUGGGGAGUACGGCCGCAAGGCUAAAACUCAAAGGAAUUGACGGGGGCCCGCACAAGCGGCGGAGCAUGUGGAUUAAUUCGAUGCAACGCGAAGAACCUUACCUGGGCUUGACAUGCACCAGAUGGCUGUAGAGAUACAGUGUCCCUUGGGGGUGGUGCACAGGUGGCGCAUGGUUGUUCUCAGCUCGUGUCGAGAGAUGGGGGGUUAAGUCCCGCAGAGAGCGCACCCCUUGUUAUAUGUCCCCCACGUCUCGGCCGGGGUCUCAAGAGAGACCCCCGGGGUUAACUCCGAAGAAGGGGGGGAAGAUCUCAUCUCCUCACGCCCCAUAUGCACAGGGUCUCACACAUGACACAAUGGUCGGCACAACGUGUGAGGACCCCGGGAGGUGAAGUGGAUCGCGGAAAGCCGGUCGUAGUUCGGAUUGGGGUCUGCAACUCGACCCCAUGAAGUCGGAGUCGCUAGUAAUCGCAGAUCAGCAACGCUGCGGUGAAUACGUUCCCGGGCCU
rnacentral:rRNA from 1 species